CGAAAUCGCCAACUGUUGGUCAAAUCUUCAAGGAAUAUCCCAGAUUUCUGGACAUGCCAGCCUUGGUGGACAUUGAAUUUUCCAAGAUGACAGAUGGGAAAGAAGACAUGUUUAUCAAGAAAUGGUAGGGGACGAUUAUCCCAAAACUCAAGGAAAUAGCAUCCUUUGAGAAACAAAUGUACAUCAGACACUUAUUGGAGAAAGCUGACAAUCAGCAGGAUGAUGAGCUGUGUUACACUAUGUUAAGGAUCCUCGUUCAUCUUCUUCCACCCACGGCAUCUGGGAGAAGCGUCGCCGGCAGUAAAUGCUGUGUCAAUUCUGCUAUCUCAUACUUGUUGGAACUGGUGCCGGUAUGCAUUGUGUUAGAUUUUUAUAAAGUUGCAAUGUCACAUGCAACAACAUUAUGAAUGUUUUAUAUGAUUAAUGUUUUGAAAUGCUUAUUUUUUAUCAACAGUAUUUUUUACAGUAUGAAUUCCAUGUUAAAACCAGAAAAAAUGCAAAAUAAACAGUAUGUGAACCGUAUUCAAUGCUUCAGUGUGAUUUCAUGAUAACUACAUAUUGUAUUCUGAUCUAGCUUUUUCAAUAAUGUUUUAUAAUAAAAUAAAUCUAUAACACACAGUUGUGUUAGAUGUAUACAAAAAGACACAUUAAUGUGUUAACUAAAGUAACACAUUUGUCUGUGUGUUUUCACAACACAUAUUCUGUGUUGUAUUUUAAUUAUUAAGUAAGUUGAUUCAACAUAAUGUUUUAAGUA